ACCAAUCACCUCCUACUAGCCCCACCUAUGAGCAUUUGAGGGUUUUUUGGUGGGGGGUCAUCUAGAUAUAAACCAUAACACAAACAAAAACCAAAAAGAAAUCUGAAAAAGACAGCAAGAUCCCUGAAGAAAUAGUUUGGAGAAGUUAGAAACUGAGGAAGAUGGAAAUGAGGUAUCCAGCCUGCCUCUGGCACUGACAGUGUUAUGUGAACCUUCUUUCACAGACUGGCACAUCAGGCAGCCAUGCUACUGCGCUUCUCAUGCUUCAACUGUCUCUCAGGGUUUUUAUUCAUUUAUUGAUCCACGUGCAAUUUCCACCUGAAAGCAUCAUUCCAGUGUUUCUAGAAUUCUGGGAGAAUGGCACACAAAAACACCUGAUAAAAGAAGCUCGCCAUUCAGCAGUUUGUAGGUCAUUUUGACAAAAUAGAUUUCCUGUUGCAUGCCAACUCCAGAUGAUGGACCGUUAUUGUCUGGAGCUGUGUUGAGGAGAAUCCUGAAGCUGCAACUGGCCUCAGCCGGAAAGAGUACUACAAUCAAUUUGAGGAGAAAAGAUUUAAUUGAAAAGCAGCAA